UAACCUAACUACUCUCCUCUCUCCUUACGCGGCCUCACUCUCUCAAAUACGGCUUCUCUCUCUCUCUCUCUCUCUCUCAACUCUCAAACACGGCUUCUCUCUCACAGACUCGAACUCAUCUCCUCUCUCUCUCGAUCUCAGUUCUGUCUCUUCUCUUUCAUUGCUUUUGACCCUGUUCAUGUUAAAGGGAUUGUUGCUGAAGUGAAUUAACGUUUUGGAGGUUGGAGCAUUUGGUUUUGCAGAGGACGGAUUUCUCAACCAAAAACCAGAGCGUGAUGGCAAGUAGAGUAGCCUUACCUUCUUGGCUACUGUUUUUGAAUCCUUCUUCCCCUUGAAAAUAUUAUCAAGUAGUAAAUGCAGGAAAUGCCCAAAUGGUCCAAGAUAAACAGCUCCAACAAGCUGCAUGCAGAAAUGCAAGGUUACAAUGGAAAACACAUGUAAUAUUACCUGUACACAUCAAAAUUGACAUAUUAGCAAUAGACAAUUAUGCUCAUAGCAAACAUUAUAGUCUCUUCUUUCUUUCUGCACAUUAAUACUUCAGGGCCAAGCUAAUAGAGUCCUGAAGAUCCGCCCAAACUUCUUAGAGAUACAGAAUCUACUAAGAAAAACGAAAACGUAUAUAUCACCCAAUAAUGAUUGUAAUUAUGAUGCAUAAUGAGUUUUAGUCAUCAUGCCUGACAACAAUGCUGUAUAUUUUGCAUUUUAUCACGUUACUGGAAUAUUUUAUGUUUGCUACACUAGUUUGUAAAAGGGGUUAGUGAUACUAUCUUCUUUUACUGCAUGCCUUAAUCCAAAAACCCAGGUCAGGGGUGUGAUUUGCAGGGUGAGGUUAUAGGCAUCCACCUAAUUGAAAUGCACUGCAGUGUAAUCAUGUUCAUAUGUGUUAUGUUGGUCAUUCAGACCAAAUCUAGCUGAAAACGUAUUCUAAUUAAGGUCGAACAAUGGCUAUGAGUUUAGGCAAAUGAAAUGUGUGCGUGUGUGUGACAAUGAUCUAACAGAAAGAGCAUCAGUAAGCUACAGUUGGAAAUUGGGAUUUUCCCAUUCAUUUAGCUUAACUGCUUAGUACCCAAUUAUACAGAAUAGAAGAAAGGAAAACACAGUUGCGAGCGCACACAGAUACACAAAUCAAAUAUACAGAAUAUUCUGUGUAAUUGGAAAACCAAGAAACCAAAAAAUAAAAUGGGGAGCUUACCACUUUGAGAAACAGACGUCUUAACUGAUGUUUCUGAACCCCGGUGAGCUUCCGAGACACUAUGUCACUGAUCGCUGACAAAACCCCACUGUAAUUGCCAGUUGGAAUAAGAAAAUAAGAAAAGAAGGUAUCACCAAAAAUUCCCAAUUAACAGCAUUUGAUGGCUAGGACCUCAGAGAAACUGAAUUAUCACAAGCACCCGUCAUAAUUGAGUUUAAAAGACAAUAUCUUUGAAAACUCAAAUGAGAAAACAACCUAAACUUUCAGAAAUUCUAUUUUUUUUGGCUUCCUUCAACUUUCUGGGAAACUAAGCAGGAGUUUAAACUGAAAACAGUCUAAAUCAAAGUAAACCCAAGUGACAAAAAUUGGACUGAACCAAACAAUCCAAGUGAUAUUAACAGAGACAUGGGAUUUGACCUUAGUUCUGAGACGAUGAUGCUGAUACUGAAGCAAGUACUGCUGCAACCCUUUCUUUGCAAUCGACCCCAUGCUUUCCUUGUUACAACAAAGUCUUCCAAUGGCAAUUCUUGAGAGGAACUAAAACUGUUUGCACUUCUCAGUUUAUAGUUUGGAGGCAAUAUCUGACUGCGAGUCGGAGAUGUUGUUUGUAUUGUAAUUUCUAAUUUGUAUGGUCUUGCAUUGAAACCUUCUCCCAAGCUUAGGGGUGUAUUCAAUUAAGAUUUUA